rnacentral:rRNA from 1 species
UACGGGGGGAGCAAGCGUUGUUCGGAUUUACUGGGCGUAAAGGGCGCGUAGGCGGCCACCGCAAGUCGACUGUGAAAUCUCCGGGCUUAACUCGGAAAGGUCAGCCGAUACUGCGGGGCUAGAGUGCAGAAGGGGCAACUGGAAUUCUCGGUGUAGCGGUGAAAUGCGUAGAUAUCAGGAGGAACACCGGUGGCGAAGGCGGGUCUCUGGGCCGUAACUGACGCUGAGGAGCGAAAGCAUGGGGAGCGAACAGG